AGUGAUUUGGAGAGAGUCCGGACAAGCAGUUAGGAUCCGGUGCAGAAUUAAUACUGAUCAAGAUUUUCUGGUAUUGAAAACGGGUCUUUUCGAGGAGACUGAGGUUGCCGUUAUCAACAGAAAAACAUAUUUUCAUAAAGCAAUCGCAGGAAGAGUUCAAACAAAUGGAACAUUCCCAAGUGUAGAUAUUGUAAUUGAAAACUUGAACGUAAGUGACUCAGGGCCAUACUGGUGUGUGUAUUCAAAACUAGAUGACAAUUACGAUCAACUGGACACAAAAGGUAAUGGAUCUGUUCUUCUAAUGGUGACUGGAAAUACUCGUGAAUCAACAACAACCAUUACGGGAGAGGGGAAAUGUGAUGCAUCAAGUCUGACUUUGGUUGUGGUUUAUGUUCACAUCAUCGUCAUUGUUCUGAUUGGCCUCAUGCUUGGUUUUAGCAUUUUGAUCAUGCACAAGAGUCACAACAAACAACCGCUUCAAUGAUGUGUUGUGAUGAUUUUAAUGAAAAAAAGAAUGAGGAAAAACAUGCAAGUGUGUAUGGAGACAUAAAACACAGGACAUCAAGUAUGGACAAAAACGAACAAUGAACAAAAGAAUUGAGAAACAGCUGAUGGAGCCAAAUGGAAAUUAGACAUAGAAACAGAACUAAAAUGCAAAAUAUAAAUAAGGGCGUGUAAAGUGACACAAUAACAAGAGAGACCAAUCAGGGGAAACACAGAGAUUGAGAGUAAAAGGAUCUGAAAACCAAAGAGCAACAUCUGAUAAUUAUCUAAAGGGAUGAAUUACAAAUAUGCAAGGAACACAAAACAAAAAGAAGAAACCAAGCACCUUAAAAAUAAUAAUAAACAGAAAAAUGAACAGAAUUGCCAGACUUUCGAAUACAAAUAACCCACAAGAGAACAUAAUAUUUACACAAACAAAAAAAUUUAACUCAAGCACAACAUAAUAUUCUUUUGAUCUGUUUUGGUUGCAAUAAAGAGAUUAUCCACAUUAUUUCCCCCUGACAUUUGGACAGGGAACAAAAAGACUAUGAAAGAACUGAAUCAUACACUUAUGUCUGUAUCAUGCUGAUCCCUGCAAGAUGCCACCCUGGGUGGUUACCCAUUCUGCCCCUAUCAAAACCUCUAAGUCUUCCACUUGUUUAAGUGCUGUUGAGCGUUGCAAUACUUAGCCUCUUUCCUUUUCUUUGUGGGUCUUAGUUCCUAUCAAAAGUUUGUUUUUUUGUUUGCUUCAUGUUCUGUUUCUAUUGCAUAACUGGCUUCUGAGUUUUGUCACUUCCUUGUACUUUCAGUCAUUCUUUUGUUGGGCGUUUAGCUGUAAUCUUUGGUUCCGGUGUUUAUUUUCUCUCCUCAGCUCUUCUGAAUUCCCCACCGUAUUUUCUUUCUUCUGGUUUGUCUUUGCUGAACUCAUUAAUACACUUGUUUCUUUUUCCAGUGAUGAUCAUUUCAAUCUAAUAAUCCAAGCAAUAAUAAAAUAGUUAGACAACAGCAGCAGCAUGAUCCUGCUGUCUUUCUUAAAUGUCAUUUCACUCUCAUAUGUAAUUCCUGUACGCCUCCUGCAUUUGGGUUGUGUUUACUGUUGCAUUUUUUACAUUGAACCUUUUUACUCAUCCUGCCACCUGCACAGCUACAUAUAGACUCUCUCAUCACACCACUUAACAACAGUUCAGCAAUUGUAUAUAUUUGUAGAUCAUUUUUUUCUGUACUUAUUCUGUGAUCCACUUGUAACUGUGCUGUUGUUUUACUUUUCAUUCAUAAAUG